AGAGUUUGAUCCUGGCUCAGGAUGAACGCUGGCGGCGCGCCUAACACAUGCAAGUCGAACGGCACCUAUCUUCGGAUAGAAGCGAGUGGCGAACGGCUGAGUAACACGUGGAGAACCUGCCCCCUCCCCCGGGAUAGCCGCCCGAAAGGACGGGUAAUACCGGAUACCCCGGGGUGCCGCAUGGCACCCCGGCUAAAGCCCCGACGGGAGGGGAUGGCUCCGCGGCCCAUCAGGUAGACGGCGGGGUGACGGCCCACCGUGCCGACAACGGGUAGCCGGGUUGAGAGACCGACCGGCCAGAUUGGGACUGAGACACGGCCCAGACUCCUACGGGAGGCAGCAGUGGGGAAUCUUGCGCAAUGGGGGGAACCCUGACGCAGCGACGCCGCGUGCGGGACGGAGGCCUUCGGGUCGUAAACCGCUUUCAGCAGGGAAGAGUCAAGACUGUACCUGCAGAAGAAGCCCCGGCUAACUACGUGCCAGCAGCCGCGGUAAUACGUAGGGGGCGAGCGUUAUCCGGAUUCAUUGGGCGUAAAGCGCGCGUAGGCGGCCCGGCAGGCCGGGGGUCGAAGCGGGGGGCUCAACCCCCCGAAGCCCCCGGAACCUCCGCGGCUUGGGUCCGGUAGGGGAGGGUGGAACACCCGGUGUAGCGGUGGAAUGCGCAGAUAUCGGGUGGAACACCGGUGGCGAAGGCGGCCCUCUGGGCCGAGACCGACGCUGAGGCGCGAAAGCUGGGGGAGCGAACAGGAUUAGAUACCCUGGUAGUCCCAGCCGUAAACGAUGGACGCUAGGUGUGGGGGGACGAUCCCCCCGUGCCGCAGCCAACGCAUUAAGCGUCCCGCCUGGGGAGUACGGCCGCAAGGCUAAAACUCAAAGGAAUUGACGGGGGCCCGCACAAGCAGCGGAGCAUGUGGCUUAAUUCGAAGCAACGCGAAGAACCUUACCAAAUCUUGACAUCCCUCUGACCAGGACUUAACCGUCCCUUUCCUUCGGGACAGGGGAGACAGAUGGUGCAUGGUUGUCGUCAGCUCGUGUCGUGAGAUGUUGGGUUAAGUCCCGCAACGAGCGCAACCCUUGUGAUUAGUUGCUACGCAAGAGCACUCUAAUCAGACUGCCGUUGACAAAACGGAGGAAGGUGGGGACGACGUCAAAUCAUCAUGCCCUUUAUGACCUGGGCUACACACGUACUACAAUGGUCGUUAACAGAGGGAAGCAAUACCGCGAGGUGGAGCAAAACCCUAAAAACGGUCUCAGUUCAGAUUGUAGGCUGCAACUCGCCUACAUGAAGUUGGAAUUGCUAGUAAUCGCGGAUCAGCAUGCCGCGGUGAAUGCGAUCCCGGGCCUUGCACACACCGCCCGUCA
rnacentral:rRNA from 1 species